UUUAAGCAUUUUUAUAAUUUGGUUGUGUACUCUCUUAAUUUGGUUUUGUUCUGAAAAUUUUUUAAUAGAUUAAAUGUUAUAUGGGUUGAUGAAAAAGCUAAGAGUAGUCGCAAAAGUUACUAGUUUUAAUAAAACACUUUUGUUUCCUCUUUUUUUUCUUCUGUUACUGGGAUUUCCCCCAUCCUGGGUAUGGUGGUACAUGCCUGUAAUCCCAGCGACCCUAGAAGCUAAAGCAGGAAGAUCUCAAGGUCAUGACCCACAUGGGCAAUUUAGUGAAACUCUAUCUCAGUGUAAAUAAAAGUAAAAAGAAUUAGGGAUGUAGCUAACACCUUCUAGGUUCAAUUCCCAUUAUCACAAAACAUACAACAGAAUCUGUUUGUAGGACUCUGUGAUGAAUUGUUUUCCACAUAACAAGGAAAGACAACUACAAAACGAGGACAAUGACCUGACUUAAUAUUUACUAUAUAGAAGUGUCAAAUCCAUAGAAAUUGAGACUAAUGGCAGUGGAGACCAACUUUAUGAGCAAGUUAAAAGACACAUGCAGAAAAGUAGUAUUUACAGUUAUAGAUGGGUGGAGGUCAAGCUAAUUUGUUCAGAAUAACUAAAGCGGGGGCUAGGGAUUUAGCUCAGCGACAUAAGCGUCUGCCUUGCAAGCAGGCAGUUGUGAGUUCAAUCCCUGGUACCGAUAAAAAGGAAAAAGACAAAAAAACCCAGAAUAACUAAAGCCUAAAAUUUAGUGUACAGAGCUGAGAUAAAAAGAAAUAGCACUUGAAAGCAAGCAAGGUGGUUGAAAAUAAUAGAAUUGGAAAAAAAUAUAGCCAAUUUAUCGAGAAUGUCCACAUUUUCUUUGGUUUUUAGUUUUUUAUUAUUCCUCUCUGUAAAAACAUAAUACUUUGUUAAACAUUUUACAUCCAAUAUGUUGCCAAACUCAAGACCAUGACCAUACAGGCAGUCGUGAGUUUGAUCCCCGGUACCAAUAAAAAAGAAAAAAGACCAAAAAAACCAUUUUGUGAUCAUAUAUAGAGCUGCUGAGGCUCACCCAUGCCUUUGCUGUCUUGAGGUUUUAUUUGGAUUUGAUUAUGUAAUGUCUACAACUGACCUAUACUCUCUGGUCCACCAGAGGUCAGAACUGAUACAGCUCUUAUUACAAAUGACAUUGGUAGUCAGGUCUGCAAUAGUUAGGUCUGUAAUCCCAGUAUGUGAGAGGCUGAGGCAGGAGAAUAGCCUUCAGUUUGAGGCCAGCCUGAUGUACAUAGCAAGACCCUGUCUUCAAAAAAAAAAGUUUUAAUAAAUGACAUUGUUAGUUUGUGCAGCGACCUAAACUUCUUACGCAAUCAGAUGGAAAUCGCAGUCUCCCUAUACACCAACAGUAUCUUCCUCUAAAGGCCUCCUGAAGGUCAGUGACAAUGUAGCAUGGCUCUUCCAUGAUGCUCUUAAUACCCGUCACCUAAUAAAUACAAAAAACUUGUCAGCUCAUUUUAUUCCCUUUGGAAAACAAAAGUCUGUUACCUAAAAUCUGUGCAGUUUUUUCCUGAGGAUACUUCAAAUAGGUUCUUAUAUACUAAGGUUUUAAUCCUAACUGAAACUCUGUGUGUCAUGAACAUGUUUUGCUUUUUCACAGAUUGGUUCAAUUAAUAUAAAUUCCCUUGGUUUUAUGUUUUUUGUUUUGUCUUUUUUUUUUUUUUUUUUUUUGUGCCAUGGAUCGAACUUACAACUUUGUGCUUGCCAGGCAGAUGCUUAUACCACUGAGCUAAAUCCCUGGCCUUGUAUUUUGUCUUUUUGAUACAGGGUUUUGCUGUAUAGUUCAGCCUGGCUUUAACCUUACAAAGAUCCUUUUGCCUCAGUCCUCUGAGUGCUGGGAUUUUAGGUGUGCACUACCAUACCCAACCAAUUCCCGGAUUUGAAACACUCUAUUAUAAUUGCUGUUCCUGUGAUGCAGAUUAAUAAAUUAAAAAAAGAGAGACUGGUUUUGGAGAUGGACUUAGUUAAAAAAUUAUACAAAAUUGCCAACCAUGGUGGUACAUAGCUGAAAUCCUAGCCCUCAGCAGGCUGAGGCAGGAGAAUUACCACAUAUUUGAAGCCAACUUGGGCUGUAUAACAAGGCCUUGUUUGAAAAAAUAAAACAAAAAUACAAUAUUAAUAUGAAGAUAGCCCCAAAUUUUAUUUUAGCGUUACUGUUUAAUGUAGGACUUUUUGGGGGGUGGGGGUGCUGGGAAUAAAACUCAGAACUUUGCACUUGCCAGGCUAGCAUUGUGUGGCUGAGCUAUAUCCCCAACCCCGCUAAUGUAAAACUUUAUAUUAACAAGUCAUCAUUAUGUUUGUUUUGGAACUUGGGAUUCAACCCAGGAAAUUGAACUGAGAUCCUAGAGAAUUGAUUCUAGUGAUCAUAUUAAAGGGGAAAAAUAGAAAAUAAAUAUUGAAGGGAAGGAAAUAAGUUGGAGGAAAAAAAUUAGGAGACUGGAGAUAUAAUUAAAUAGAGCACCUGUCUAGCAUAUGCAAGGUCCUAAGCUUAAUCUGCAGAAUGGAUUGAUAGAUGUCAGUAGAAGGAAGGAGGAAAGAGAAAGAAAAGAGGAAAAAUAGGAUGAAACUUCAGAUGUGGUCAGUUAAGAAAUGUCAGGCAAUAGCCAGGUUAGGUGGUACACAUCUGUAAUCCCAGAGUCUGGGAGUCUGAGGCAAGAGGAUCACAACUUCAAGUUCUGCUUGGGGAAGUUGGUGAAACUCUAUCUCAAAAUAAAAAAUAAUAAGGGCCAGGGAUAUAGCUCACUGCAGAGUCCCUAAGUUCAGUCCUCAGUGCCACUAAAAAUAAUACAAAAAUCUAGCAUACAGGUAAGUCAGAAGAUGAUAUACAAUAUUUUAAGUAACCUAGAGGAUAUAUAGUAGAAAAGGUCAUUUAAACAUAACUACACAGCUGGGCAUGGUGACACACAUCUGUAAUCCCAGCACUCAGAAGACUGACUCAGGAGGAUCACCUUGAGUUCAAGGCCAGCCUAGGCUACAAAAUGAGUUCAAAGGUAGCCUGAACUACAUAGGGAGAGCCUGCCUCCAAACAAAGAGAUGACUCUAUAUAUUACAGUUAUGAUUAAUUUUAAUAGAUAAUCCAAACUAAAUCAAAAUAGGCUUUUACCUGGGCAUGGUGGCAUAUACCUGCAAGCUGAGCACUGGAGAGACUGAGGCAGGAGGAUCACUUUGAGUUUGUGGCCAGCCUGGUCUACAUAGUGAUUUCAGUGCCACCUUGAAAUAUAUAGCAAAACCUUGUUUAAAAACAAAAGAAUGGGGAGAAAAGGUUUUAAAAAGCUUUCAAGUGGAAGUUGGGUAAAUAUACUAUGAAACAAAGAAGUGUUUUGAUCAAAUAUGGAUGUAAUUUAAAACAUGAAUUCUAUUACCAGUUACUGAAAGACAAGGCUUCCUUUUAAUUCAGAAGAACAAUUUCAGUUGUAGAGUUUGUCAGAUAACUCGAAGAAUAAAGAAUAUUUUACAAGCUAUCUAUUCAGCCAUCUUCUUCACUCUAGGUAGAUUGCUUCUGUGAUAUAGUAGUAGUGUUUAAAUAGUAGAGUAAAAAUGAGGGUGGACAGUACAAAAACCCUAUUUCUAAGAAGUUCGUAUCAUUCAAGUAUGUUUUUGAUGACCAUAUGUAUUUCAGAUUCUCCCCUGUGAAGGCAUAUAUACUUCUACAUGUUCUUUCACUUGAUUUAAAAGUAUAUAUGGUUAUUUUUUGUCUUUUUUUUUUUACACUAAUUUGGAGCAAUUUCAGAGAAUGUUUUAAAAUGACUGAAAAACAAAUUAAGCCAAGCAUGGUGGUACACCUUGUAAUCCCAGCAAUUGGGAGGCUGAGGCUAGACAAUCAUUGAGUUUGAAGCCAGCCUAAUCUAGAUGGCAAGACCCUGUUUCAACAAACAAAACAUUUAAGUGCUCAGAAAUUGAAACUGUGGCACUGGCCUUAUUUGUCCCAUGUUUUAUUCAAUUGAGUCAAUCAAUUAUAAUCUAAAAUAAGAAAUAUUCUUAGACUCAUCUCACCUUGAGCUGUCUGCUUAGGCUCCUGCAUGCAAGAUAACUGGUGAAAUGGAUAAUCACUACCUCUUGCUAUUCCUUUCUAUUACUAUAAUCUAAGGAAGAAGAAGAAGUUAGUAUGUGAUUAAUGUUAGUUUCCAAGAAGAUGCAGUCUUCUUGAGUAAGUGCUGGUGAGGCAUUUAUGAACUGUGCCCUUUUCUAAGACUACCUUUGCCACUAUUCUAACUAAAAAUAUCUUUGAUUCAUUGGAGUUUGGAUACACUGAACCCUGUUUGACUUUAAAUGGAGAAAGUGGUUAGGAAGGUACAAAUGGCAUUUUGAAGUUCAUCUUAUCUUGAAGUAGUACAAAACAUUUGCUAUCUGACUGUGCUUUGUGGGUAGCUUGGUUACUUCCCUCUACUGGGACAAAAUUCCUGACACCCAAAAUAAAAGGAGAAAAGAUUUAUUUUGACUCACAGUUUGUAAAGGUUUCAGUAUAUGGUUGACUGGCCCCAAGGCAGUACUGUGUCACAGAGGAGAAACAGUCUGUGACAGGGCAGACAGGCAGCGAAAAAGCAGCAACAGCAGACUUGCAUUCUUUCUGUCCCUUUAUAUUCUGUCCAGGCUACAAACUUAUUGUUGCCACCUGUACCUACCAUGGGGCUUCCUUUAUCCACACCUUUCAUCUACGUUUACAUACCCUAAUCCAGCUACCUUUGAAACUACUGACAUAUGACCACCUGAGGCUUUGGAGAAGGAGGCAUCUAGAUACAGGCCAUUACAGUGGACAUACGUGUUUUCUUCAUAAUUUACUCUUUUAUGUGUAAGACUAUUUUAAGCCAGGCAUGGUGGUGCACGCCUGUAAUUCCAGCACUUGGGAAUCUAAAUCAGGAGGAACGUUGAGAAUUUGAGACGAAUCUGGGCUCAAUGACAGCCUGAACUGCAUAGCGAGACCCUGUCUCAGAAAGACCAAAAACUAUUCUUAACAGAGGAUAUAAGUAAAGGACAAAAAUAGCCUGGAUCUUCAUGUAACUUAAAUUCUUGUAAUUAAAAAAGGACAAAAAGAAAA